ACUACGGUGUGCUGCAGUGAGGAAUAUUGGUCAAUGGGCGCGAGCCUGAACCAGCCAAGUAGCGUGAAGGAUGACUGCCCUACGGGUUGUAAACUUCUUUUAUAAAGGAAUAAAGUGGGGCACGUGUGCCUUUUUGUAUGUACUUUAUGAAUAAGGAUCGGCUAACUCCGUGCCAGCAGCCGCGGUAAUACGGAGGAUCCGAGCGUUAUCCGGAUUUAUUGGGUUUAAAGGGAGCGUAGAUGGGUUGUUAAGUCAGUUGUGAAAGUUUGCGGCUCAACCGUAAAAUUGCAAUUGAUACUGGCAGCCUUGAGUACAGUUGAGGUAGGCGGAAUUCGUGGUGUAGCGGUGAAAUGCUUAGAUAUCACGAAGAACUCCGAUUGCGAAGGCAGCUUACUAAACUGCCACUGACAUUGAUGCUCGAAAGUGUGGGUAUCAAACAGGAUUAGAUACCCUUGUAGUC
rnacentral:rRNA from 1 species